AUGUGUCAAGCGAAUAUGAGAGGUCGGGGUAUUUUUGCACAUAUCACCCUGACCAUACAAGAAAGGUGCCUAUUUGAAGAGAUUAGAUCUCAGAUCCAUUCCACACCCUGCGCAAAAAAAUCCUCAGAGCUUGCUAGGAGGAACCACUCCAACAUGGCUAGCGCUCCCAGCUCUUCCUCUCGUCCCCACGGCUCCGAAAAAGGUGAUUGGGAGAGAUGUUUCGUAUCUCACGGUCAGCUGACGAAGCUGCAAAAGCAGGGCUUUCUUCCCCCUGCGGAUCUAGUCCCCGUCCGAGAAGGAUCGACGUCCUUCAACGGCGGGGUUCAGGCGGAGAAUUUACACAAUCCAUCCAGGGGGAACGAGUGUGCUUCGUUCCCUACUUGCUAA
rnacentral:rRNA from 1 species